UCCUGGUUAGCUCAGUUGGCAGAGCGCCUCACUGUAAAUGGAGAGGUCUCUGGUUCGACGCCAGAACCAGGCG
rfam:Ixodes scapularis strain Wikel colony gcontig_1107728551520, whole genome shotgun sequence.